AGAAACCAAUGGCUGCAUUAAAUGAGUCUAUAGAAGAUUUUUCAUCUCUGGACAUGUCUAAUUGCAGAGCUCUAAUUGGAGGAACGUGUGGCAGUAUCUGAAAGGAGAAAAUAGAUUAAAAAAUGAUGCUCAAAGAAGUUAAAUAACUGGCCCAAAUUCACAAAAAAAGCAUAAAGUAAGGUGUGGAUGUGAAGGACUCAGGGCCGUGUCCAGCAUGGGCAACAGCAAUAGCAGCACUUAUGCAAUGGAAAGAUGAUCCACAGCCCAGAUGAAAUUAAAGCCUUUGGUGAAAAAGAUAAAUCCAAAGUAAUUUUAUGCUGAUUGAAGAAAAGAAGUAAACAGAGUUCCAGAAAGCAACUGCAAAUACUCAUUUUGAAAAAGAAAACAAAACAAAAACAAGGGAGACAUUUUAAAAGGAAGCAGACUUGGGAGAGGAAGAAGGAGGGAUUUCACAGCUUCAGAGUGGGGACCAUGGAAGUUCAACACAAAGGAUGGCUCUGGAUAAGUCUGUGUGAUGCCCUGUCCUGGGAAAAAACCACUGCAUAG